rnacentral:lncRNA from 7 species
GGGUAUGCCAUGGGAGAAUGGAACCCAAGGAAUCCUUGGCAACAAAAAGAAAAGAAUCCAAAGGACUAAUUUUUCUGAAGAUCAACAGAGGCUACAAGUUGGGAGGUGAUGAACCAAGUAAAUUGGAUAAUGUUCAGAAAGUGAGAUUAAGAAGAAAGGAAAGAAUCUUACUCAGGAAACAACUGAUUCAGUAGUUUUCUAGGACUUCACGAGUAGUGGCCAAGAAGAGAGAAUAAGUAGUUAAUCUCAGUUUAGGAAAGGUGGAACAGGAGAUGUCUUUGCUCUAGUACUGAAGAGGAAAAAAGUUAAACUGGUGGAAGAAAUGCUUGUCUCCACAUUUUUUCCUAGUACAAAAGCAGUUAAGCCACUUCUAAAGACUGGCACUGUUGGAAAAAAGCCUGAAAGGUGGUUGGUUGGUCUCAAAUGGCCAUAAUUCCAGUUCAGAAUGAAGAACUGAGAUAUAAAUAACACUGGUAGAGCAGAAGUUUCAGGUCAACAGUGUCAAUUCAUCCUUUGAUAUUACCCAUCUUUGUUUCUUUCUUAGAUUUAUUAUAUUUAAUUUGUAUGGGACAUUUUUACCAUUACAAAAAUAAAGUACUUCAAGUGUAUUAAAACAAAUGGACAUGU